UGCCCUAGUAACGGCGAGUGAAGCGGCAACAGCUCAAAUUUGAAAUCUGGCUCUCGGGCCCGAGUUGUAAUUUGUAGAGGAUGCUUUUGAUGCGGUGCCUUCCGAGUUCCCUGGAACGGGACGCCAUAGAGGGUGAGAGCCCCGUCUGGUUGGAUGCCAAAUCUCUGUAAAGCUCCUUCAACGAGUCGAGUAGUUUGGGAAUGCUGCUCUAAAUGGGAGGUAUAUGUCUUCUAAAGCUAAAUACCGGCCAGAGACCGAUAGCGCACAAGUAGAGUGAUCGAAAGAUGAAAAGCACUUUGAAAAGAGAGUUAAAAAGUACGUGAAAUUGUUGAAAGGGAAGCGUUUAUGACCAGACUUGGGCUUGGUUGAUCAUCUGGGGUUCUCCCCAGUGCACUCUUCCAGUCCAGGCCAGCAUCAGUUUUCCCCGGGGGAUAAAGGCGGCGGGAAUGUGGCUCUCUUCGGGGAGUGUUAUAGCCCACCGUGUAAUACCCUGGGGGGGACUGAGGUUCGCGCAUCUGCAAGGAUGCUGGCGUAAUGGUCAUCAACGAC
rnacentral:rRNA from 1 species